rnacentral:rRNA from 1 species
ACGGGAGGCAGCAGUGAGGAAUAUUGGACGAUGGGCGGAAGCCUGAUCCAGCCAUGCCGCGUGCAGGAAUAAGGCCCUAUGGGUCGUAAACUGCUUUUGUUGUGGAGCAAUAAGACUCACGUGUGGGUCGAUGAGAGUACACAGCGAAUAAGCAUCGGCUAACUCCGUGCCAGCAGCCGCGGUAAUACGGAGGAUGCAAGCGUUAUCCGGAUUUAUUGGGUUUAAAGGGUGCGCAGGCGGCACGUUAAGUCAGCGGUGAAAUGCAGGGGCUCAACCCCGGCACUGCCGUUGAAACUGGCGAGCUCGAGUACGGAUGAAGUCGGCGGAAUGUGAUGUGUAGCGGUGAAAUGCUUAGAUAUGUCACAGAACACCGAUUGCGAAGGCAGCUGACUAAUCCGCAACUGACGCUCAGGCACGAAAGCGUGGGGAUCGAACAGGAUUAGAUACCCUGGUA